rnacentral:rRNA from 1 species
UACGGAGGGUGCAAGCGUUGUUCGGAAUCACUGGGCGUAAAGCGCGUGUAGGCGGCUUGGCAAGUCGAGUGUGAAAUCCCAGGGCUCAACCCUGGAACUGCACCCGAAACUGCCUCGCUGGAGUCCCGGAGAGGGUGGCGGAAUUUCCGGUGUAGAGGUGAAAUUCGUAGAUACCGGAAGGAACACCAGUGGCGAAGGCGGCCACCUGGACGGUGACUGACGCUGAGACGCGAAAGCGUGGGGAGUAAACAGG